rnacentral:rRNA from 1 species
UACGUAGGGCGCAAGCGUUGUCCGGAAUUAUUGGGCGUAAAGAGCUCGUAGGCGGUUUGUCGCGUCUGCUGUGAAAACCCGAGGCUCAACCUCGGGCCUGCAGUGGGUACGGGCAGACUAGAGUGUGGUAGGGGGAGACUGGAAUUCCUGGUGUAGCGGUGGAAUGCGCAGAUAUCAGGAGGAACACCAAUGGCGAAGGCAGGUCUCCUGG